rnacentral:rRNA from 1 species
UAUUGCACAAUGGGGGAAACCCUGAUGCAGCGGCGCCGCGUGAGCGAUGAAGUAUUUCGGUAUGUAAAGCUCUAUCAGCAGGGAAGAAANUGACGGUACCUGACUAAGAAGCCCCGGCUAACUACGUGCCAGCAGCCGCGGUAAUACGUAGGGGGCAAGCGUUAUCCGGAUUUACUGGGUGUAAAGGGAGCGUAGGCGGUUCAGCAAGUCAGAAGUGAAAGCCCGGGGCUCAACUCCGGGACUGCUUUUGAAACUGUUGAACUAGAUUGCAGGAGAGGUAAGUGGAAUUCCUAGUGUAGCGGUGAAAUGCGUAGAUAUUAGGAGGAACACCAGUGGCGAAGGCGGCCUGCUGGACUGUAACUGACGUUGAGGCUCGAAGGCGUGGGGAGCAAACAGG